UACUUUAACUUGUAAACAAAAAAAUCAACUUAUGAAUUUCAACUUAAUUUACUUUAACAUAAUGUAUAUGUAGAAGAACAAUUUUAUGCGUAUGAAUGCGAAUUGUGUUGGAGCAUGUUGUCGAAAAUAUGUUCGACUUCACAUUAUCUGAGCUUGAAGAAAUUCAGGAUCGAACAAGUUAAUUAGGAGUUACAGGAUUUUAUAUUUUGCUAAUACAUCACCGUUUUCUGCAGUUGAUCGUUGGUGCGCCGAGUUUUAAUUGAUGAACAUCCAAAGAAAGUAAAAGUAAAAACACAAAAAUGAAUCCUUUAUAGCAUUGUUUUGUAGGGGUCGACGGUAGAAGGAAAAAGGAAAGGUUGACUACAGUAAAAACACAAUUUUAGUGAGCAGGAUGAGUUUGUUAAAUUUUCAAAAAUUUGUCGUGUUGCCAUUUUUAAAAUGUUAACAAAUAAAUCAUAUUUUGCUAAUUGAA